rnacentral:tRNA from 1 species
CCCAAGGUGGCCUUAAUGGAUAAGGCACUGGCCUUCCUAAGCCAGGGAUUGUGGGUUCGAGUCCCAUUGGGG